GAGCCCUUAGCUCAAUCGGUAGAGCAACUGACUUUUAAUCAGUAGGUUGCGGAUUCGAGUUCCGCAGGGCUCACCA
rnacentral:tRNA from 1 species